CCUACGGGAGGCAGCAGUGGGGAAUUUUGGACAAUGGACGCAAGUCUGAUCCAGCCAUGCCGCGUGCGGGAAGAAGGCCUUCGGGUUGUAAACCGCUUUUGUCAGGGAAGAAAAGGUUCUGGUUAAUACCUGGGACUCAUGACGGUACCUGAAGAAUAAGCACCGGCUAACUACGUGCCAGCAGCCGCGGUAAUACGUAGGGUGCAAGCGUUAAUCGGAAUUACUGGGCGUAAAGCGUGCGCAGGCGGUUAUGCAAGACAGAGGUGAAAUCCCCGGGCUCAACCUGGGAACUGCCUUUGUGACUGCAUAGCUAGAGUACGGUAGAGGGGGAUGGAAUUCCGCGUGUAGCAGUGAAAUGCGUAGAUAUGCGGAGGAACACCGAUGGCGAAGGCAAUCCCCUGGACCUGUACUGACGCUCAUGCACGAAAGCGUGGGGAGCAAACAGGAUUAGAUACCCUGUAGUCCACGCCCUAAACGAUGUCAACUGGUUGUUGGGAGGGUUUCUUCUCAGUAACGUAGCUAACGCGUGAAGUUGACGCCUGGGGAGUACGGCCGCAAGGUUGAAACUCGAAGGAAUUGACGG
rnacentral:rRNA from 1 species